GACGAACGCUGGCGGCGUGCUUAACACAUGCAAGUCGAACGGAAAGGCCCUGCUUUUGUGGGGUGCUCGAGUGGCGAACGGGUGAGUAACACGUGAGUAACCUGCCCUUGACUUUGGGAUAACUUCAGGAAACUGGGGCUAAUACCGGAUAGGAGCUCCUGCUGCAUGGUGGGGGUUGGAAAGUUUCGGCGGUUGGGGAUGGACUCGCGGCUUAUCAGCUUGUUGGUGGGGUAGUGGCUUACCAAGGCUUUGACGGGUAGCCGGCCUGAGAGGGUGACCGGCCACAUUGGGACUGAGAUAUGGCCCAGACUCCUACGGGAGGCAGCAGUGGGGAGUAUUGCACAAUGGGCGGAAGCCUGAUGCAGCAACGCCGCGUGCGGGAUGACGGCCUUCGGGUUGUAAACCGCUUUCGCCUGUGACGAAGCGUGAGUGACGGUAAUGGGUAAAGAAGCACCGGCUAACUACGUG
rnacentral:rRNA from 1 species